rnacentral:lncRNA from 1 species
GUUUUUCUCUGUAUACUAUCAGUCUAUGGAAGUUAUAAGUUAUAACUUAGAAUAAUUAAGCAGUACGUACAUACACAUCUUUCUCAAGGAAGAAUGUAUAAAUGGUGGCUUGUGCCUAAAAAUCCCGUACCUAAUAGACCGUAGUAACGAUAUUUAUUAUUCAGCAAGGGUUACCCGUAUGUAUGAAUUUAUUAAUUAUUAUACUCCCUAGUUAUAAUUCAUGGCCUGGGAAGGAAUAGUAGUUCAAGUUAUGUUGAAUAAUUUUUAUUUAGAACUUGCUUAAUUUUUGGAAAUUACGCGUUUUUAUGUAAGGACCACUGUUCUGGAGGUAUAAUCAGUGCUCAGGUUAUACGGAGAUGCCAUCAUUCCCAAGAAUGAAAAUUGUCUAAACUAUUGAUAUAUAUUCACAUAUUGUUUUAAAAUUGCAUUAAUCAACUAUAUUAAAAAAAAAAAAAAUUGGGAGAGAAACCCCCGAAGCACCAAUGAUCAAAAUCCAUCGUUGACCAUCACCUGGUAUGAUUUUACAACUGGACCACCGAGUAUAAUCGAUCAAGUUUUAUAAGAAUAAAACCCCGUUUAUUCAUUCAUAUUAAUGGAAAUUGUGAACUAAUGGAUGUCAAAAUGGGACGAAUAAAGCAAAUGGACUUAAACCAAAGUGUCUUUUCAAAAUCUAUCCUUCAAAUGCCCUGUUGUAUAAUAUAUUUAAUUCAACACUAAUAUGUAGUGAAAUAUAUCAUUACAUCCUUAUUCAAUCUUACUUACCUAUUGUAGACAAUAAAUUAACUACAAUGGAUAUAAUAAAAUAAUAUUAAUUAUCUUA